rnacentral:rRNA from 1 species
CGUGACCCCAGGUCAGGUGAGG